GAGUAAUCCCAGAUCAGCCCCAGCUCUAAUAUUCUAGGUUCCCAUAACGUUCACACCCAGUCCUGAUUGUGUGGCAACUCCUUCCCAGUGGAGGAAGCGACUGUUCCAAGAGCCAGUUUUGGAAUUGUAGGCACAAACACAGAUUUCAGGUUUCUACUUCUACAUCUCCAGCCCUGAAUACUCAUGGAAUAUCGCUGUACCUAUGACAGAGUGAAUGCUGAAACUUGGAAGCCAACUGACAAGAUGCCAGGGAUGGCAUGGCAAGGAAGAGAGAGCCUUCAUGGCAAUUUUGAAUACCUGAUCUCUUGCUUUCAUCAUCUUGUCUAGGGGAAGAAACACGGAGCCUGGUAGUUGGGAGGUGAGAGGCAGGAAUGGAUACCAGAGAUGGACAGACAGUGGGGUGGUGAGAAGGGAGCUGCAAUUUGCUAAUCCUUGUAGUACUACCUGUCAAUCAUCUUGCUUUCCUUAAUCAUCGAUCCUGGAGAGACUUUGAGGAAAGGGCUGGUGGAGUUGCGCAGAUGUGAUCUUCAUUUCAGCCUUAUGAAUACAUACCAAGGUCUCUUUAAAUCUGUGGUUCCUGCACAAAGUGCUGUGACUUCAGGCUAAUAGAGAGGUCCAGAUGUCACAUGUGCCAAUUAGAAAGAAAUGAGGACCAUGGCUAUGGCCCACUGUGUUCAGAAGACACGCCCAAGCCACCCAUUGUCAUUCAUUGUGUCUAAUACUUGACCUGUCCUGCUGUUUAUUAUGUGGGGUGGCUCCAUAUUUUAAAAACUGUAUUCAUAAAAAGAUAUUUCUCAUCCUGCUGAGUCUCAGGCCCAUUGUUGUAGGUGAGGUGGUUUCUUUUGUUUGAUAUAUAACGUUUUGCUGACUUUCGACUUGGGAAUUGCAAAGGCUUACCCAAAACCCUGAAGGAAAAGCUAAGAAUUCAUACUUAUUAAGCACUUGGUAGGUGUCUGACACUGUAGUAGAUAUAUGCGAGAGCCCAGAACAAGCUGAUGUCCAUGUACAUAUCUUUAAAAAAUAUAAUGAUCUAGUCUUAUCUGUGGAAACUGCUUCAGAUACUGAUCUUACUCUUUCCUGUUACAUCAGAAAUUCUGGAAGGUAAUAUCCUGAAAGAUUU
rnacentral:lncRNA from 10 species